AUUCCAUAUACAAAUCAUCGACGUCUUCACCCUACAGCUAAGACUCCGAUCGACACUCUGUAACGUCCAACCACUUAUACCACCCUCCCAGCUUUUAAUCGAGCUUAUCAUCUUUCCAGGAUAACCGUCAGAAACUCCAUCUAUAAAUGUGUUUGCUCCUUGCACAAAAAAAUGUGUUUGCUCCCAGGCCCCAGCGAUGAACAUCAUGGCAUCUGCGAAAACUAAAGCACGAUCCCUGCAAAUCAUCAACUCAACAAUGGCGCAAACCUCCAUCCUGCUCCCUACGAUGAACAUCAUUGCAUCUGCGAAAACUGAAGCACAAUCCCUGCAAAUAAUCAACUCAACAAUGGCGCAAUCCUUCAUCCUGCUCGCCGAUUUGAAAGCUGGCCGGUUCUGUCAGUGGAGAUUCAACAGCGGCAGAUUCCUCACACCACCGCGACGAGAACAAAUCAUAACCUCCAUCAAGUAUUUGGUGGUAUUUGUUUACUUUCGGAAAAGUGAAUUAUAGCUUGAGCAGUAGCAAAGAUUGUUUCUUUAUUUGAUUGGAAACUGCAGCAGAAGAUCGUUCCAAACAGAAGCUGAUCUCACCAUAGAUUCUUCAGGUUGCAAAGUUUUAGGGGCCCAUCACCAGGACUACUCAACUUAUAAUGUCAAUGAUUCGUGUUGCCAAGUUAUUCCUCGAUCUUCAACAAACCUUUAUUCAUACACGUGUUAUUUUUUUUGUUGCUUAUCUACAUUUAUCUUUAGUGUUAUUGGUAGAGACGCUCUCAUUCCUUCAUGAGAAGUUGGAACCCAAGGUCAUCGUGGCCACUAGCAUAAACCCAGAACUUGUAAGAGCUCUCCUAUUUUUAAAAGCUACGUCUGGGGCCACUUUAAAGUUUAACUGUUCGAUGAGUAAGUUUCUUCUGAAUAUAUCAACCACUGCAGCUAACAUGGCUUGACUGAAGUGACGCCUCAAGUGGUUCCAAGUAUGGAGGUGUUCAGACAACCGAGAGCGUGACUGUGGCGUAGCUUAGUACAACAUUUGUUAUUGGUAUUAAUAUGCCAUUCUUUCAGUCUACACUACUGCAUUGUAACAAAAAAAAAAAUUGGUCUUAAUUAUUUUUGACAAAAAAAAUAGAAUUCCAUGUUAUCAUAGUUCUACUUAAAACUAUACUAUUAUUGUUAUUUUUU